rnacentral:rRNA from 1 species
GACGAACGCUGGCGGCGGGCUUAACACAUGCAAGUCGAACGGAAAGGCCCUGCUUUUGUGGGGUGCUCGAGUGGCGAACGGGUGAGUAACACGGGAGUAACCUGCGCUGUGCUUGGGGAUAACUUCAGGAAACUGGGGCUAAUACCUGAUAGGAGCGCCUGCUGCAUGGUGGGGGUUGGAAAGUUUCGGCGGUUGGGGGUGGACGCGCGGAUUAUCAGCUUGUUGGUGGGGUAGUGGCUUACCAAGGCUUUGACGGGUAGCCGGCCUGAGAGGGUGACCGGCGACAUUGGGACUGAGAUACGGCCCAGACUCCUACGGGAGGCAGCAGUGGGGAAUCUUGCACAAUGGGCGGAAGCCUGAUGCAGCAACGCCGCGUGCGGGAUGAAGGCCUUCGGGUUGUAAACCGCUUUAGCCUGUGACGAAGCGUGAGUGACGGUAAUGGGUAAAGAAGCACCGGCUAACUACGUG